AACUAGGUCAUCUGUAAGUCGCUCUGGAUAAGAGCAUCUGUUAAAUGACGUAAA
rfam:Salmo salar isolate Sally breed double haploid chromosome ssa19, whole genome shotgun sequence.